rnacentral:tRNA from 1 species
GGGAAAGUGGCUCAGUGGUAGAGUGCUUGCCUUGCAUGCAUAAGACUCUGGGUUCAAUUCCUCAGCACCA